rnacentral:rRNA from 1 species
GACGAACGCUGGCGGCGCGCUUAACACAUGCAAGUCGAACGGAAAGGCCUGCUUUCCCUUGUGGAUUGCGGGUACUCGAGUGGCGAACGGGUGAGUAACACGUGAGUGAUCUGCCCCCAACUUGGGUAUAAGCCUGGGAAACUGGGUCUAAUUCCCGAUAGGACUGCAGGGUGGUGCCUGUGGUGGAAAACGAUUUUCUAGUGGUUGGGGAUGAGCUCGCGGCCUAUCAGCUUGUUGGUGGGGUAAUGGCCUACCAAGGCGGCGACGGGUAGCCGGCCUGAGAGGGUGGACGGCCACAUUGGGACUGAGAUACGGCCCAGACUCCUACGGGAGGCAGCAGUGGGGAAUAUUGCACAAGGGGCGGAAGCCUGAUGCAGCGACGCCGCGUGGGGGAUGACGGCCUUCGGGUUGUAAACUCCUUUCGACCGCGGGGAAGCCACCUGGUUGGAAGGGUGGUGACGGUAGUGGUAGAAGAAGCACCGGCUAACUACGUG